rnacentral:lncRNA from 1 species
UAGAGAGGAUCAACUUGAGGUUUCUGGGUAUCUUCAGCCUGUUGGGCCUGCACUCCCCAUGCCCUGCUCAUGUGCUCUGGUUGAUUCACAAGGUUUCUUACAGCCAAUUCCUUUGUCUCCCAAAAGUGGGAUGGGGCAGGUCACUGAGGUCAGCCAGUUCCUCCAAGGGCAGUGUAUGCCUUGAGGAUGGGCUGGGACACCCCCAAACCACUGGCUAGAAAGGCAUGUUCACCGUAAACCUUGCCGUGCUCUCAGGGAGGCCUCUGACCAGCACUGUCUAGCAUUGCUCUUUAAGCUUUUCCUCCCCUCUUUUGUCUAGCUUCUCCCUUCCUUUAUUUCUCUUUCUCUCUCUCUUCCUUCCAACCUUUCUGAUUUCUCUGUCUCCCUUUUCAUCCAGUCCAAGUUGGGGAUCUUGUACCAUCUUUAUACUUCAGAUCGCUCUGCUCUAAGCCCUUUAGGCUGGUUAACAUGCACCCUGCCCUCAAGAGUUCAUUAUGUGGAUGCAAAUAGCAGGAUUAGAAGAAGGGGAGGGAGCAGAUGGGCUCGGUGGCUCACUCCUGUAAUCCCAGCACUUUGGGAGGCCAGGGCAGAAGGAAUGCUUGAGCCCGGGAGUUCAAGACCAGCCUGGGCAACAUGGCAAAACCAUCUCUAUGAAAAAUACAAAAAUUAGCCAGGCAUGAUGGUGUGCACCUGUAGUACCAGCUACUCGGGAGGCUGAGGCGGGAGGAUGGCUUGAGCCCAGGAGACGUAGGUUGUAAUGAGCUGAGAUCAUGCCAUUGCACUCCAGCCUGGGUGACAGAGCAAAACCCUGUUUCAAAAAAAGAAAAAAAAAAAAAAGAUGAGGCGGGAAAUGGGGAGUAAGCUUUGCUAACCAGAUGUGGGAUGAAUAAAUUAGUUUUAUGUAUUAAUCAUGAUUAUGACCUUCACAUCCCCUUGGCUCACCCCUAGACAAUUCUUCCCCACUCCCAGCCAUCUGCAAGCCACAGUCAGCCUGUCCCUGCUCCCGAAAAUGGAAUUGCUGAUGCCCCCAAGGCUGUUACUCUCCCAGGGGGUCAUCUAUCCCUUGGAAUGGAGAGGCUGGCGAUUCUGGCUGGUGGCUAUCUUUCCACAGAACACCCCUGAUUAGCCAGGCCCACCGCCAUCCACAUCUGCUCGGCAAAGAAGGAAGGUAGCUUAUUCCAGACCUUGGUGAGUGGCUGCAGACUGCCUGCCUAGAACAGCCUCCUUACUCCAGCCUGGCAGGGAAGGAAGGAACCUGACUUGCUUUGCAGGAUCUGGAAUCUCAGCGCGCAGAGCUGAGAGCCGCAGUUGCAUCCUGGAGCCUGAUGUUAGAAGCAGCUUCUGUCUCUGGGUUCUUGCUGCCGUGGCCUCUGCUCUGUUCAGUUUGCUGUUGUGUUUUUCUCCCCCAUGUUGGGGUGGUGGGGUACAGGGAAAUAAAAUGUUUUCUCCCAGGCCCUUAAUCCUUCCC